UACGUAGGGCGCAAGCGUUGUCCGGAAUUAUUGGGCGUAAAGAGCUCGUAGGCGGCUUGUCACGUCGGAUGUGAAAGCCCGGGGCUUAACCCCGGGUCUGCAUUCGAUACGGGCUAGCUAGAGUGUGGUAGGGGAGAUCGGAAUUCCUGGUGUAGCGGUGAAAUGCGCAGAUAUCAGGAGGAACACCGGUGGCGAAGGCGGUUCUCUGGGCAUUACCUGACGCUGAGGAGCGAAAGUGUGGGGAGCGAACAGG
rnacentral:rRNA from 1 species